AGUCCUGUCAAUCAACUUUUCCCGGGCUCCAGAAGGACCGCGGAUCUCCGACCCUGAGCUCCACUCGACUUCAUUGGCUCGUCUGGCUCUAGCCCCGCCCCCUCCCCAGGGACGAGGUCGGCUGGGAGACCGGCGCCCGAGUUCCCAUGACAACCGGUGCCUUGGGCCUGGCUUUUAGUGUUCCUCUGAGUAGCCUGACGCUGAGGUUGAUGGCCGAACCGCAAAGUUCCGAGAGCCUGCUUUCUGGACUUUUAGGCUGAGUUGAAAAUGCAUCCAAGGACCGCCACAAUUCCAACUUCAGAAAAAACUGUGUGGCCUGGGGAGUGCGUGCCCCGGAGAGGAAGAAGCGCUAACUGCUGGCUCUUCUCGGAUCCACCUCAGUUACCCCUCCCCCCGCUUGCGCUCCCCUGCCUCAGCCUUGUUUCCAUAAUCUCUCCUGGAGAUUUGGGCUUUGAAAGGGUGAGGGGAAGGUGGAAGAGAAAGACCAGUUCCCUGCGCCAGUUCCCUGGAGCCAUAAAGCAAGUUUGAAAUGGCGGGGUUAAGGAAAACAGCCCCGUGGUUUAAAGUUGUAAAGUCAUCUUCAAAGGUGUGGUGGCUACACAAUUCAGAAUGCCCUCGGGAAAACUCAAAAAAUACUCAAAAAUUUCAAAAUAAAAACUGUCAUUGGAACUUUGCCCAGGAGAGAAGCAGAAGCAAGAUAAGUCACCCACCAAAACAUAAGCAGGCCUGACAGAUCUCAUCAUGUGCCCAUCUAGGCAUCUUGGGUUUGUUGUCUCCAUUCAGCAAAGAACUGAACAGGACACAGAGACAGCAAGCAAGCAGCAGUUUAUUGCAAAAGUGACAGAGACAGACUUCUCUGAAGACCAGAAAACUGGAGACUCCGGACCCUGGAAAUUUUGGCUUGUUCUUUUUAUGGUCUCUGGAAUUUCCUCCUUCCCUUAUCUCUGCCCCUGGUCUCCUCACUACUGUUCAUUGGUGUUCCCCAUGUCCACAUGUGCAUUUUAGUUUUUCUCUCAGAUCUCCUCCUUAGGAGCAUAAGUACAGAUGUGGCUGUCUGGGUCCCCGGCUUGGAUACACAAGCACUUUUGUCACUGGGGAAGCUGACCUCAUUGGAAGACCCUCUCUAUGCUCCUUUGGUCUGGAUCUGCCUCUGACUUCCUCAUUCACCAUCUUGCCCUGGCUGCCUGUGUCCUUCUACAUCUCCCUCAAUCUUGGAAUUUCUUUGUACCAUUAUCCUGGGGAUCUCCCUAUCCUUAGGGUGUGUUUGGUCCCUUAUUUCUGGAUCUUAUGUCUCUUCUACUUUGUUUCCUUAUUUUCAUGGAAUACAAUUUCCAGUAAACCUAUUGAAUGUAUAA